UACCAGCUCAAGUUGUUAAUAUUAGUUGGUAUCAGAUAUCAACAGACAGUGUUACAAUAUGGUGGAAUAAAACUCAAGGCUAUUCUACUAUACCAGUUCCUCCUACUCAGUAUUACAUUAUUAAUGUAUACACUACAUCAAACAGUAUCAUAUACACUAAUAAUACUAAUAAUACUAAUGUUACUAUUACUGGACUAUCUCCUAUUAAUGAAUACUACACUGUUACUAUCAUACCUGUUAAUGUUAUUGGAUAUGGACCGUCAGCCACUGUUAAUGUCAGUAUAACUACCAGUAGUUCAUCAGUAUCUUCAAUUUAUAUAAUUACAAUACAUGUAUCAAGCAGCAA